rnacentral:rRNA from 1 species
GACGAACGCUGGCGGCGUGCUUAACACAUGCAAGUCGAACGGAAAGGCCCUGCUUUUGUGGGGUGCUCGAGUGGCGAACGGGUGAGUAACACGUGAGUAACCUGCCCUUGACUUUGGGAUAACUUCAGGAAACUGGGGCUAAUACCGGAUAGGAGCUCCUGCUGCAUGGUGGGGGUUGGAAAGUUUCGGCGGUUGGGGAUGGACUCGCGGCUUAUCAGCUUGUUGGUGGGGUAGUGGCUUACCAAGGCUUUGACGGGUAGCCGGCCUGAGAGGGUGAACGGCCACAUUGGGACUGAGAGACGGCCCAGACUCCUACGGGAGGCAGCAGUGGGGAAUAUUGCACAAUGGGCGGAAGCCUGAUGCAGCAACGCCGCGUGCGGGAUGACGGCCUUCGGGUUGUAAACCGCUUUCGCCUGUGACGAAGCGUGAGUGACGGUAAUAGGUAAAGAAGCACCGGCUAACUACGUG